CAGCAGUGGCAGCAGCAGCAGCAGCAGCACAAGGAGCUGCUAAGCUAGAAGCACAGAGCUGAGCUGAGGCCAUGCAUCUUCUCACACUCACUGCAGGGCUGGGCCUGCUCUCUGUGGUUCGAGCCACGAUGCCUCCUCUGACUCCUGCCAGUCCUGAGGAGGUGAUGGCCCUGGGGAGGGAGGACUGAGGGUAGUAACUGGCUUCCAAGCUCAGACCUUGGACUGGGGUGUCUCAGGCCUGCUGAUGUAAGCCACAGGUGAUGUUGAAAAAAAUACCUCUCUUACGUGCUUGGUGGGAUCUUCUCAGGUGGGAGUGGGGCUUGAGCAGGUGUUCCAGGCCAUGGUCAUGUCUUUCUUCUCACUGUGUGCACUUAGAGACUAAGAGGCUGCUGGGGGACAGGGGAGGCUUGCUAGAUGGACGCUGUCCUGGCUCUAGCUGGACUUUCAAAGAAAGGCUUCCUUCCUUCCUUUCUCUCAGUGUGUGUGUGUGUGUGUGUGUGUGCUUCAGAGACACUUCUUAUAUUCUUCCAGUAAAUUGAUUUCAGAUUUCAUCCAGGGUAAGGCCCCUGUGACUGUUGUGUAUCUGGGGAGACAGAGCCAACUUCCUAAUGAUUUCAGGAGAAACUGAGAAGUCUGUUCCUUGCCACACCUCAGCACUUUGACUGUAGACAGUGAAGCAGACCGUGGUCAGUCGGUACAGUCAUGGUUCUCUCAGGUCACCUCCUCAGCCAUGUCCAUUCUGCCCUGUCCUCCGGCUCAGCUCCCUGAAGUGAAAGGUCAACCUGUCCUCCAGAUCACCUUUCUCAGUUCCCUCUGGAUGCCUGUGCAGGGUCUGUGGUCAGGGCUCUUCCCAGGAAGUGUUUCUCCUAGGAGGCCUGUGCCCUGUCUGCUUGGUUCUACCUACUGCUGCUGUUGGUGAGAGACAGCCAUGGUCAGGACUCCUCCUGACAUCCCGGCAUCCCGGACCCUUCCAUCUUGCACUGAGAUCUGACUGCAUUCUCCUCCUGCCUCUCACCCACCGUCUUCCAGAUUCCCUUCUCCCUGCAACUGUGUGCACUUGUGGCCUCCAACUGCAGAUCUUGGGAAAGUGGUACAUAAGGUGCUGGGCAGGAGACUUGCCUAUUCCUGAGUCGAGAUGGAAAGACCCGCUGCCUCCCUUCACCUUUGAGAGAAACAGUCUUGAUGAGUUGGAGUUCAGGAUGAACCUGACGAAACCCAUUGGCUGUAUUCAGUACAAGCUGCCUCUGUAUGAGGGAGAGGACCCUGGUAUGUUCCUCACAUGGUGGAGGCAUGUCAUCUACAUCCAUUUCCUGCCUGGGAAGGAGUCUGCCAUUGCCUACUUCAGGGGCAAAAUGAACUAUCAGUAUUACCAGAUGAUGAUGCUCAUGGGCCGCACCCUGAAAACCAACCUAGAUGCUCUGAGGGCCUUCAAGACGUUUAUGAUGAGUAAAAUGGGGAAAAAAGCCAAGACAAAGACGCCUCCCCACGCUGAAGCCUGUGAAUUGCCCAGAGAUUCCUAACACAGGAGCAGCACCUCAGAGACUGUGUAGCAGCAGGAGUGGGGAUCCUCCAUGCACCUCCAUCUUGGCCAGAACUAAGUAGUGUGGAGAAAGGAAAAGGUGGGGCCAAGUGCCCACAUC